UACGUAGGGGGCAAGCGUUGUCCGGAAUCAUUGGGCGUAAAGAGCGUGUAGGCGGCUCGGUAAGUCCGCUGUGAAAGUCCAGGGCUCAACCCUGGAAAGCCGAUGGAUACUGCGGAGCUAGAGUACGGAAGAGGCGAGUGGAAUUCCUGGUGUAGCGGUGGAAUGCGCAGAUAUCAGGAGGAACACCAAUAGCGAAGGCAGCUCGCUGGGACGUUACUGACACUGAGGCGCGAAAGCGUGGGGAGCGAACAGG
rnacentral:rRNA from 1 species